GAAUAGGGCGCAUAAGUAACAGGUCGUAGACCCGAAACCAGGUGAUCUACCCAUGUCCAGGAUGAAGGUAAGGUAAUACUUACUGGAGGUCCGAACCCACGCACGUUGAAAAGUGCGGGGAUGAGGUGUGGGUAGCGGAGAAAUUCCAAUCGAACUUGGAGAUAGCUGGUUCUCUCCGAAAUAGCUUUAGGGCUAGCCUCGAGGUAAAGAGUCAUGGAGGUAGAGCACUGUUUGGACUAGGGGCCCUUCUCGGGUUACCGAAUUCAGAUAAACUCCGAAUGCCAUGUACUUAUACUCGGGAGUCAGACUGCGAGUGAUAAGAUCCGUAGUCGAAAGGGAAACAGCCCAGACCACCAGUUAAGGUCCCCAAAUAUAUGUUAAGUGGAAAAGGAUGUGGGGUUGCUUAGACAACCAGGAUGUUGGCUUAGAAGCAGCCACCAUUGAAAGAGGGCGUAAUAGCUCACUGGUCGAGUGACCCCGCGCCGAAAAUGUACCGGGGCUAAACAUAUUACCGAAACUGUGGAUGAACCUCUUUAGAGGUUCGUGGUAGGAGAGCGUUCUAAGGGCGGUGAAGUCAGACCGGAAGGACUGGUGGAGCGCUUAGAAGUGAGAAUGCCGGUAUGAGUAGCGAAAGAAGGGUGAGAAUCCCUUCCACCGAAUAUCUAAGGUUUCCUGAGGAAGGCUCGUCCGCUCAGGGUUAGUCGGGACCUAAGCCGAGGCCGAUAGGCGUAGGCGAUGGACAACAGGUAGAGAUUCCUGUACCAGUGCUAAUUGUUUAACCGAUGGGGUGACACAGAAGGAUAGGGAAUCGCACGAAUGGAAAUGUGCGUCCAAGCAGUGAGUGUGAGAAGUAGGCAAAUCCGCUUCUCGCGAAGCAUGAGCUGUGAUGGGGAAGGAAAUUAAGUACGGAAGUUCCUGAUUUCACGCUGUCAAGAAAAGCCUCUAGGAAGAGUAGUACUGCCCGUACCGCAAACCGACACAGGUAGAUGAGGAGAGAAUCCUAAGGUGAGCGAGAGAACUCUCGUUAAGGAACUCGGCAAAAUGACCCCGUAACUUCGGGAGAAGGGGUGCUCUAUUAGGGUGCAAGCCCGAGAGAGCCGCAGUGAAUAGGCCCAGGCGACUGUUUAGCAAAAACACAGGUCUCUGCAAAACCGUAAGGUCACGAAUAGGGGCUGACGC
rnacentral:rRNA from 1 species